rnacentral:misc_RNA from 1 species
GAAACUGGUAGGGUGGUGGAGGCAAGAGAUCUUCUUGUUGAAGUGGCUGAACAAGGUUCAAUUCCAAGAGAAUAUACUUAUAAACUAGUUCGUGAUGCUUUAGAAUCUUCUGGGAAGAUUGAUUUGCUUGAUGAAGAAUUGUGUACAAGAUUAGAAGAUGGUAUUAAAGGUAGGAUUAGACAAGUGAUGAAAGUUAAACCUUUGUUGCAGCAUC